ensembl:lncRNA
AAAAGAAAAGAAGCCUUUUUCAAAUAGAGCCUCAAAUAAAGGUCAGACAGUUUCAGAAAUAUUUUAGCUAUUAGUAGAGAUGUUUAAAAGCUUGAAAGAAAAAUCUGAACUGACACCCCCAGUUUUUGGCUGUACUACAGUACAUUUUAAGAUGGUCUCAGUUUCAUUAAUGGUGUGUUGGAUAGGAGGCUAGAAGAAAUGAUGCAGCCAAAUAAUUAAUCUACCUAUAAUCUUGAAUGUGAUAAGUUGAAUUUUUGGAAAAAAAUAGUUUCUGUGCCUAGGUAGGAAACUACCAGUAGAGCAUCUUGUGCCAUAUAAGUUCACUGGUUUUCAUAAUUUGUAAGGAAUUGAGCUGAGCACUAAUUACACAGGUGUGAAGAGCCCAAAUGUCUACUUUUCUACAGCUGGUGUUCUGUAAGACCAUUUUCUCCAGAGACAUGUGAAAUUAUGCUGUUCUUGAUGUUGAAUUAGAAGUCCUCCAGGGAUUAGACACAUUGUCUGAGAGUAAAUGAGAAGAUAGCAUGGGUUUCUUCUCCAAGAGCAAUAGUCUAAGACAAAUAGGCUGUCAAAGUUUGCUGGCUCAUGAUUGAGAAGAAUGAAUGUUUUAAGAAAUAAUAACUAAAAAGCAAUGCAAAUAAACAACUUCUUGAAAAAAAUCCUUUACCUGUAACUAGAAUUAGAUUUACUUCAAUGAGCCUGAACAGCUUCUUUUGUUGUUAAUACCUACCAACUAAUUUAGUUGCUAAUACCUGUUAAUUCCAUUUUUAUCAGCACAGAAGAAAACCCAAAGCCCAUAACAAAAACACUGCCCAUAGCCACAUAAAUUCCCUUAUUAUCCAUUUCAAACUGGUUACAUAAAACUUCAAACACAAUGGAUAUUAGUAUGAAAUAAGAAAUCUACGUGACAGUCCAGAAGGAUUUCAACUGCCCAGUGCUCAGCUGCUCUCAGUCAAACAAAUGUUUUGGACCUCAAAAACAAACACUGGAGAUGGAAAUUGAAUGGCAAUGGAAAUCUGUGGCAGGCAGGAAUGACUGGUUAAACCUCUGACUACAAAGGAAAGCCAUAGGCAUGGAGGUGAUUCCACGGUAAUAUAUUCUGUGCUAGUUUCUGGCAGGAAACAAUAGAUGCAAUGUGGGAGCUUAAAGAAGAGAGAUGCUGGGAAGACAUCAUACCUUUUCUGACUGUUCCAUAUCACAUCACUCUGUUUGGAGAUACUGUGUUUCAUCUCCUACAAAGUAAAUUGCUGGCUGACAGCUGGAACCACCUCUACUAUAAAUUAUUGCACUCACAAGCAAGUUGGAUAUCUACCAUAGGAUCAUCAAACACAGAGGAGUUUGUGUUUACACUGCUGUAACCAAGCUGGGGGCUGGUUUCCAGAAUUACAGAGUCUUACAUAAAACAAAAUUUUCUCUUCAUUAAGUUCCAUGUUGACUGUCACAAAUCCUCCCUAUGAAUCCUUUCUAAUUCGUAUUUUGUGAGGGCGGGCUAGGACCCACAAAAAACAUUUACCCUAAUUCAUCUGCUGCGUUGUAAGGCUUUUAUUAGGCUUCACAAAUUUGAAUACUUUCAUCUGCGUUGUCAAGCUUCAUUCCCCACUGGUAUUUUUCCCUACAAAAUGUUGGUGAUGAAUAUUCACAAACCCCGGUGAGAGCUGUGCCAAAGACAUAGCUCAAAACAAUACAGCUGUAGCCAGAAAGCUGUACAGUGGGUGAACUGUUCUCAAUUCCUAUGCAUGUCUUCCAUCUCAAACCUUCAUCCUAUUUAAGUGCCUCAGGAAGAGAUAGCAAAGAAUCUCUUUCUCUUUUUUUUUUUCUGGAAAUCAAAUACAGAGGACUUGAAAGAGAAAAAGUUAAGUAUUGUAAGCAAUCCAGAAGGAGCAAACCAGGACCCACUUAUGAAUCUCCUCCCGUAAGGAUGGCUGAAAACCUCUAACUUGUAAGAAAACUGUGAAUGUCUGAAAAGUCUUCUGAUGUGAUACAUGUUGUGUCUAAUUUAGGUGCCUUCUGAUAGGGCUGACUGCAUGUGGAAAUAGGAGAAAGAGUAACUGGAUAAUAUUCUACUGCUAGAAGAGGCUGAGGCUGAUCUUCUUCUGCUUGAAGAUUGAUAUGUGUAGGACCUGUGUGGUCAAAACACCAUUAAAAUCAUAGUAAACAAAUAAUAAAUACAUGUUUGGGUCCCUUACCUGCAACAAGGUGAGUGAGAGGAUGAAAUUUAUGCUAAUUCUUGCAACAUUGCCUUUAAUUAUUGUGAGCCAAUGUCAUCCAUAGUAUAAUCAAAGUUAAAAUUGUGUUAGAAAUUGCUUGCCACUUUUUACUUCUCUGUAUGUAUGAGUCUAUACAACAGAAUUCUCAUAAUACCUUAGAGGGAAAAAAAAAAGCCAUCAGACAAGAAAUAAACGUGUCUUCCUCUUUCAUCUAAAUUUAACUAGAAAAGCAGUCUCAAAAAAAUUAGACGUGCUGAACUAUCCAUAGGAGAUUCCAAUCCAUUAUUAGCCUACUCACCCUGUUACUUAUCUUCAAACGCACACACCACCAACAGAAAGGAUUUAGGUUACAUUUAAGUAAUCCAAAUCUUGUAGGUAGUGGGUUUUAGUGAAACUGGAGCACUUGUUACUAUAAUUUAACUACAAAAAAACAGCAUUUAGUGAAGUAAGAGGUCUGACUUUAAUGCACAAAAGCAGGGAGUUUUGUGGCAGUAUCAGUAAGGCUGAAGUGUCAGUCUGGAUUUUCAGCCUUAAGUCUGAAUUUCCUUGGUUUUGUGGAUUUGUCAGAUGUUUAACAGAGCUUAAAUGUAAACUUUCUUCUUGACGACAUUCAAACCUCCACAAUACAGCCCUUUUAAAGAAGAGAAAAAAAAACUCUCACACAAACCAGGCAGAAUGACUAAAAUGGUGGGAUAUGUGAGGAACAGUUCAUUGUCCUGUGUGCUCCAAAGGGAUUUCACUUCUCUGUGCCUCAGUUUCCCAAACAAGAACCUGAAGAUCACAUUUACAGAUCUUGGAAAUGUCCUCAAUAAUGAGUCACUGUAAUAUUUGUGAAGUGGAUUAGCAUGCUUGAACGCAGAGUGUUAUGGAACAUUUCAGAUGGGAUUUUAAUUGCCAGUGACCAGGGAGGACCUCAACACAGAGUAUGUGUCAGCACAGUUCAUCCCUUCAGAGCAUCUUCAAUUAAAGUUGCUCAAGGAUAGGAGCUCUCAGAUUAUCAUUCUUGCCAGCCUGUUAAAGACUGAUAAAGGAAAAGGAGGACUGCACUUCUGCAAAAUGAAUAUUGGAUUAGAGGGAGCAUGUCUUGUUUUGUGUGUAUUGCACAAAUUGCAAUUUUCCAGAUUUUCCAGAUAGUCCAAAUUGUUUGCAAUACAAUUUCCUUUAUAAAGUGCACUAUAUAGAAGGAGGAAACAUCACUACAUGGAACAGAAAUGUGUUCUGGAAUGCCACAAAACCAUACUGUGAGCUGAAAAUGAAUUCAACAAUUACUGGGCUACAGCACACUUUUACAUUUAUGGCUUUGGAUGGGAGCUCAGAGUUAUCAUUUGUGCACGUUCUCUUGACAGCGUGCCAUGAGCUGCUCAGCCACUGAUUAACAGAGGUUACUGUGAGAGUCCUACCAAUUAAUAAAAAUAAAAAUCAAAAUUCAGUGGUCCAGCUGUCAUAGAUGGAGCUGCAUUUCUGAUGGCACAUUCAUUAGUAAAAGUGCUCUCAGUUACUACUUUCUAUGUUACAUCACGCUUGCUUGCUGAGAUAGAUUAUGAAGACAAAGUUCACUCGUUGGUGGAAUAAGUUACUCUAAUUUGAAUUUGAAAUGGAUGACAUCCCAUUAUUUAGCUUAAUCUAAAUUCAGAAAAAUAUGCAAUUAAAAGUGCUACAUUACCUAUACAAUUUAAAUCCUGAGCUGCCUGUAAAUAUCUAGCUCUGCGAGGUAAUAUUUGGAUCAUGUAUGAAAAUAUAAGAAAUAACCACUGAGGGCGACUAGACAGUAAAUGAUACAGAGGAUAUUAAAAAGAAUGAGAAAGUAUUUUAUUCCGGUGGAAAUCUAAUAAACAAGUACCAAGAAGGAGUAUGUCUAAUGAGAACUGAUGUAGGCGUUGAAAUACAUCACUGAUUCACUCACAUGCGAAACUUUACUUAUUUAUCAUAGUUUAUCAGAAAAGCUAUAGAGAGGAAGUCCCAAGGCACUGGCAAGGUAAUGAUGCUCUGUGAGAUGUGGAACCCCUGCAUGUUCUCAUGAGCAGUGCUGCUUCAUACAGGUGUGCCAGCAGUGCCUGACCAUCUGGGGCAAGACAAUGACUUGUGUUAUGAAUACUUCUUUGGGAAGUUCUUGGCAGAUUUAUUUCCUGCAACCAGACCUAGUCCUUCAGUUCAGGAGAUUAUUGCUUGCCCGAAGCUCAAGAGUUACAUUAAUUAUUCAGUGUUAACCAUUUGUGGACAAAAUCUUUACUUCCUUGUUCAUAUUUUUUAUACCUAAUGACAGAGUAAUGCUCUUUGGUGCUAAUAAAUGCAUGGAUUUUCUCCUGCAUUGUUCACUAUGAUGAAUGACAGACACUGUCAUUCUUUAUACUUUCAUUUCCAGAUAAAGCAUAUUUAUGAUUAUCUUUGAGCAGGUAGAAGCUUGUGUGCACAUUCUGCGUCCUGACACAACAUAAUGGUUAAACGCUUCAUGGACCUUUAAGACCUGUUACUUGGUGCAUAGCUGGAUAUGCAAGAGUUGGCUCAGUGGAUGCUAAUUUGAAAUCACUGCUCUCAAUUUUAUAACAGUAAGCAGUCAGCUAAUCUCACAAACAUCAGCCUUUGCAGAAGUCUUCCAUAUAUUUCCACCGCAAACUAGGAGUUUAAUAAGCAAUUAGUUGCUGAAAUGAUGCAUAGCUAUCUGUGGUCACCAUUUAAAGACAUUGCAACAAAGUCAAUUCAGAAGAAGAAAGUUGAGCUGGUGAAUAUUUCUAAGUGAAGAAAAAAAAAAACUUGAGCUACUUGUUGGAAAGGACAGCAACACAGCACACUCCCAUGAUGUCCUUGAGGAGUGGUGAUGGGAAACAAUAAAAAGACAAACACCAGCAGCAUUUUGUUCUGCAGAGGCUGGUAUGAAGUUAAUCAAAGCUUCCCAAAGACUUAUGUCCAAGGUGGCAGUUUCUCUUUGCAGUCGAGGCGCCAGAUCCCAACAUGCCAGAGGUUGUGCUGAAAAUCAGGACUUGGGGCUCUUCCUUUGCUGAGAAGAUAAAGUGGCAACUCUUGUGAAAUCCCACCCCUGCUUCACCAGCUGAAUGAAGUCCAAAAACUUGAUGCUUCAAACAUUUCACAGAGAUGGAAAAAAUACGAGAGCCAAAAAGAUUGUUAAAAAGAAUCCACAGUGAGGAAGACGGGAAUGCUAUCUGUGGUUCUCAUAUGAGGAAGAGCAAGAACAGAUGCAUUUUUUCCGCACACUCGGAACCUCAACUUGCAAGAAGUAGUGAAGGUUUGUGUAGAACUGGGGAUGACAACUGAACGCAAGUAGUCACCAGCAAAACACAGAAAACAUGACUGUUGGUGCCACAGCUUUGCCAGCUGGUAAGGGACUUUUCCAUGUCUCCACCUUGGAGAGAAGAGUGUGGUGUGCUCUGAUUUGAAUGAAGAAACAGGAUCAUUGUGGUCUGUUUUCCCCAUCCUUUGAGCCAUCCCAAUGCAGGAACCAAGAGAAGAAAUCUCAUUCUUUCUCUUCUGCCCUUGAAAAAGGAUAGAGGAUAUGCCAAAAAUCUGUGUGGGUCAAAAAGUGACUGGAAGGAAGAAAAGAAUCCACCAAAGAAAAUCCUUAGAGGAAAAUUCUGUCACAUAGAAAGAUUUCACCUCAGCUUCAGCGGAUCCUUGAACCACAAAUAGCUGCAGGCUGGGAAAGUAUUCUGGGGAAUAUGGUUGUGUUCUGUAAAUAUUGGCUGUGGGCAAUGUUGAAGGACGUGAGACUACGUGCAUGUUCAUUUUGAGCUGGACCAGCCAUUCUUGUGUAUCUGUUAUUUGUGUGUUUUCAAAAAGAAAAAAAAAAGAAAAAAAAAGAAAAGCUCUCUGAGAGACACUUCUCUCUUUCUAUUUUUUGUUAUUCCAAUCCAGUCUGUUUUCGGGGCCAGGGAGGGAGACACUGGAGGAUCUCAGUGCCCCUAGGCAGAUGGCGAAUGAGGGAGAAGUGCCUGCGGGGCUGAGGCUGGCGGCGUCUCUUUCAGACCAACAUGCCUUGGUCCCCCUGCAGCUGGGAAGAGCACAGAGCUUGUUAGUAAGGUACAGGUGUCAGCAGAUAAUGAACAGGAUUGUUGUAAAAAAACAAAACAAACAAAAAAACAUGGAAUAAGAAACAAUUUAUUUAUGAUGUAUUGACAAGGAUAUGGAAAAAAUCCCAAGAGACCAUAACAGGAAGACACAAUAUCAUGGCUAAUAACAUGCUAAAUAAAUUUUAUUUUAUGAUGAAACCUCCCUAUGACUGGAAAGGUUGACGUUCAAAACAAUUGUGACCUGUGUGCAGCACAUGUAGCAACAGGCAUGGCUCCUGCCUUCUCGCGGUGGGGCUGUCCAAGAAGCACAACGAUGCCUUUGGGAAAUACAGCUGCAGGCAUGAGCUGUGUUUUCCCCAGUAGAUCAAUUUUUCUAACUUUAGAACAAUGAAAGAGGCAUAACAUAUUAUAAAUUGAAAUUACCCUGCAUGGUUUUAACUGUGCAGUUGGCAAAGGUCAUUAAGUAAUGUCAUUCCCAGCCAUACGCCACAGGGAGCAAUCUAUCAUAUAUUAUCUAGCAUUCUGAUGGAAGUAAAAAAUGAUUAAUUUUUACCAUCUCAUGUAUAAUUUACUUAUUAAUGUUCCUUGCGAGACAAUCUGGUCUUGAUUAUUUGGCUAAUGCAUACUGAAUCUGAGCUUUGUAUUUUUCUUUGAAGAGAUUAGGGCAGUUAUUGUUUUUUUUUGCGAACCAUGGACAUUUGAGAUCCAGAGUAAUAAAGUAGGUAUUGAAUAGCAUUCAAUAGAAGAGAAAGAAAAAUAUAAUGCUGAAAUGGAUCAUGACUGUUCAGGAUGCUUAUGAGAUUCUCACACAUCCCAUCCCAAAGUGCAAAAGUAUCCAUUCACCAAAGCCUAAACUGAGAUGUCUUUAGCUUUAUUUUACUUUCUCUAGUUUUUGUUCAAGCUCUAAAAAACAUUUCAUUUUAUACUUGAAUAUAAGCAUGGUUUAGUCAGAUUACUUGAGUUUUCAUCAAAACAAGCAUGUAAUAAAUUAGGACUUUUUCAUUUUAAAACCUGAAAUGCAUCCUGGUUGAUAUGAGGACAAGGACUGUGUGGUUGCUGAAGUAUGUUGUCAGUUUUUGGCCUUCAAGGGCUAAAUCAUGUUUUGAGAUAAAUGAUGCUCUUCAAAGUAAUCCAUAUUGAGUACUGUGAGUUCUACAUAGUUUUAGUUAGAGUUCAUUUAUAAUAAUAAGAAGCACCUUAAAUUUAAUAUUAAUUUUUUUUAGCUGUUGUUCAUAAGGCAGCUUUAAAAUAUAAAAUACCUUAUUUUAUAUUUGUAUUGUAAUAAAAGCCACUGAAAGACUAGGAGAAGACACACAUCUGUAAAUGAUUAUAUGAUCUGGCAUCAAUACCUCUCAGAAUUUGUCUUGUGCUGUUUCAUAUUUUGAACUUUCACUUUGCAAUUACACUGUCCCUCUGUCAGGCCUGGCAGAUCAUGCUUCAUGUGCAUGAGGUUUAACUCUGACUUCCACUUCAAGGAUACUAAGUUAUUUUUUGUUUCUUUAGCAUUUUACCCAUACCUGAUUUCACUAAUGGCUUAAAAAAAAAAAAAAAAAAAAAAAAGUUUCUGCUUUUUUUUUUUUUUUUCCCUGAUAAAAAGGUCUAGAUCUGUAUCAGUAAAAACAUAUUUACAUAGUUAUGCUGAAUAAUCAGUAGCGUCAGCCUCUUUGGAAAAGAAUCAAAAUGAUGUCUUUCCAAAUGACACAGAUCAGCAAUGCUUCAAAAGAAGAAUUUGUUGAAUUUCUACCAGGAAGUUUUCUCAUGUCUCUCCCACUCCUUAAAUCAAAUAUUACACAGCACCAAAGUAUGUCAGCCCCAGCAGUCCCGUAAGAUGAAAUGAAAAGCGUAGUUAUCUGCAGAACCUUCAAAACACAUGAAAAAGAAUUCAUGGUUGAGGUUGUUCAAAGGAGGCUAAAGGAGAGGAGGUGGAAGCAGUUGGGUGCAUCCUGCCCUGAAAAUCCUCAUCUACAGGUUGCAGUACUUUUGAUAAUGAUAUUACUCUAUCUUCAGGAGCAGAUUAAUUAUGUGCAGUUCCCAAAAAGAUUUCUUGUACUUACUUUUUUACUGCAUCCGAAGUGGAGAACUGACUGGAGACCCCACGGCCAUCUGAUUUCACCAGUAUGCAAAGAAUAUUUUGUACCAUGAAUAGUGUUUAUCUUAGAAAAAGAAUGAUCUACAUAAGGGAAUGUUGAUUUUCUUAGAGCUGCUAUCAAUUUUUUAAUUUAAAAUAAUACUUCUCUUCAAUUUUUAUUGAUAACUGUCAUCAACUGCAUAUGCAGAAUGGGUCAGGUUGUGUAGAUUUUGAAAAAUUUUACUAAGUGUGAAAAGUUUUGUGGUUUUUUUUUUUCUGUGGCCUAACACUGUACUCUCCAGCUCAUUAUCUGAUCUCCUGUUGUCAAAGCCAAAGAAUAUCCCAUCAGCCAUUUUUCAUUGCUCCAACACAUCUACAUUUUCAUGUUCUUUCUUCCCAUUAAUGCUUUUUUGUUGUUGUUGUUGUUUUUUUUCCCAAAGAUAUGAUAUUCUCACACACUUGAAGUUCAGUCUCAUUCACAUUUUUAAUGUCUCUGAUUUUCUUCUUAUUUUAUUUCUGAUCAUCUGGUUUCACUGGUGGUGUUCACUGCUCACUCCUUUCCCCCAUAUCAUUAAUGAUGAUACUACAACUGGAAAUAAUUUAGCACUCUCAUGCACUUGUAGUUGUGUUUGUGAUACAUAUGUAGGUGAUAUUUACUUCUCAUUGGAGCUUCUUCAGUAGGAGCUGUGACACCAACACCAGUAAGUGUUGGCUUAAGUCUGACCCAUAAAUUAUCUGUUUCCACUUCUUUUAGAAGUAUGUUUUUACAUUGGCUUGUGGGCAAAGUAAAAGCCAACGAAACAGCACUCCUUUGUCUGCCUACCUCUGUCUUUCACAUGUAGACACAGCCCUUUUCUGACUGACAUAUGUGAGCAGGUGAUGGAGACAAGAGGCAGACUGUAGAGACGGUUGUAACUUUAUACUCUAUUUAUCCUACUUCUAUUCUCUCUUAGCUAGGUCCAGCAUGAAGCUCCAAAACUUCUAAACCCUGCAGAUAGAUGGUCUUCAGAAUAUGCAGUGGAGUUUAUCCAGUUUAACUCAGCCCAGCUGAUGCCAGCAGGUGGAGUUUCGCUGUGAGGUUUGUAAAGCUGCACCAUUCCCACUGGUCACUGAGGUCCUAACCAGUGCACUGCUGUGUGCAUGAAGUCCUGCUCUUAUCUGCUCAGUCUGGUAACUGAAAGUGCAAAGUGGCAAUUAGGUUCACCAUUAGCCCAUCAGCAAGUGCACAUUCAGGAUCAGAUCUACGUUUUGCAUGCCCAAGGCUGAGAGGUGCCAAUGGCUCUCCGUUACUGCUGGACAAGCAGUUAUGAAAAGUUGGCAUCCACAUAGAUCCGUGGCCGUGACAUGAGGAAACCUCCGCCACUUUGGCAAACAGCAUGCAAGUCCAGCAUAGGCCAUGGUAAGUAAAUUAUGUUAUUUGCUUUUUAGCUCCAAUUUAGUGGGUGUUGAUUGGUGUCACUGAAUGGGAGCAGACAAACUUGGGCUGCACACAAUGGAGAAAAUGUACAUGGAACAAACAGAGCUCUCAGAGUUUGUAGUACUAUUCACUUUCAAACCAUCUAUUAUUCAGUAUGAAAAAUUGACUGCUUUUUGCAUUUUACUUCAUCUAGUAAUGAGCCUUUUUUCCAUUAAUUAUGGUGGGUUGGGUAUGUGCUGCCCUACCAUUUAAGUAUAGUCUUUUGUCAUCAAUUUCUAUUAAAACAACCUUUUUAAGGUAAAACUAUAUAUUCCUUUGGGGUUCUACUUAAAUAUUUUAAAGGUGUGUUAUGUUCAAAAUGACAGCUCCAAUAUGUAAUGCAGUUAAUACUUAACAUUUCAAAACUCAACCUUUGUUGUGUAAAUUAAGAGAGAACCUGGCAGAAAAGAAAAACUUAUUCGUGACCCACUGAAAAAAGAACUGAGGAUUUCAGUCCCUUGAUCUUCCACAGAUCUCCUCUGACCUGGGAAAACCUAAAAAGAUUUACAGCCCACUUUAUAACAUAUUUUCUGUAAAGCUCAGAUUCUGGUUUGGAAAAGUUUUAUCUGUGCUUUCAAAUGCAUUAACCUCUUCUUUCUUUGAGAAUAGGAUUUUUGAAAUACUUCUUUCCACCUCCAGUAUAGGAACAGGAAUGCUACUUGCCUUCGAUCUAGCCUGGCAUUUUAAGGUUUCACUUUUAUGUUUGUCUAUCUCUUUGUAUUUAUAUAGGACCUUGUACAAUUGGGCUUUUAUCCCUGCUAAACUCUUAUUCUUCAGGUACUGUGCACUGAAUACACAUUUGGAAUGAAAAUUAAUUUUGAAUUAAUAGAAAACUAAUUGCUAACUAAAACUUAUCAUACAUUUCAUACAAUAGUGCAUGAAAAUUAAUUAAGAUUAUGAAAAAUAACUAUGUGCUUUCUUGGUAAUGUACCACUUUAAAUGCAUUUUUGUCAGCCGAAAACAUAACACAUUGAAUUGACAAUAAAUAGCUUUCAUUAAUAUAAUUCUAUAUAUGGCUUUCAGAAAGUUUAUUAAUUCUGGUGAGCAGUUUAUGCAACUGUGAGCUCACAUGCAAUGUUUCCUUCUGUGACAUUUGAAAAAAUCAGAAAUUGAAUCCCAAUAACAGCUGUCUCCUCUACAACAAACAUCUGUUUGGCACAAAUUUAGUAUUUAUGUUACGUAUGAUAAAUAUACACACUUGUGUAGCAGCAGUCUGACUUUUGCAAUUUGCCACUCAGGUGGAUAAUUGUAUUGUCCUCAUCGGGAUUGUAACGGGGCUACCAGAUGAAUAUCCAGCUGCUUCCAUCCCUUUGAAGGAACAGUACACAAACCUGCAGCCUUAGCUCCCACCCUUACUACGGAAGGGGCUCAGCAUUCAGUCUGUAGGCAUAGCAGCAGAUUGGCAAGGUGACAUAACAACUAUUUGCAAGUCUACGUGCUGUCUGAAGUUACCAAAGUAAAUUGCACAGCAGUCUGCUUGGUAGUCCCUAAGAAGAUAAAGUGGUCAGUGCUGCUCUGCUUUGAAAAUAUCAGCCCUGCUUUGUGCAGAAUAUUGCAGACUGGCUGAAAUGUUGCCCAAGCAACAUCCACUCUUCAGCUGUACUUCUCACAGUGGCUUAAGCUGAAGAAGGAACAAGACCCAAGGAAGUGUUUGGAAAUCUCUCUUGCAUCCUCCCAGUCUGAGACCAACCAGAGCAGCUCCUGUUUGCAUUGGAUUUGUACAUCGUUGUCAUUGGAAGAAGAAACAUUCCAGUGUGAGAGGGAUCCUCAGCUGGCAAAGCUGUAUCUAGCAGAGGGCUUUGAACAAGCCCCGUGCAACUGAGAAAGAUGUUGGCUGAAAUGAACUGGAGGUCUUCCUCUUUAAUAUGGAUGUUAUGCUUGGUGCCAUGCAGACAGCGCUGGCAGGAGGACGAUUUCAGUCUCUGCUACAUCAAUAAAAACAAGGGGUUGUUUAAACUUGGCGUUGACACAAAUAAAAUAAAAACUGAGCUGUUA